UGACAAUAUACCCGCAGGAGGCGUUGCGAAUUUUUUUUUAGCAUUAUCUUCUUGGAAUGUAUAAAAGAUGAGGACUCGUCUCCUCCUUGAAGAAGCGUGCGGUGCGUUCGACGACCAGCUGCAAUGGCUGUAGCUGCGUGGCUACUAGUUCUGCUUCUGACAGGCUUUCUGGCAAGCUACGAAGCGAAACCGGGUGUGAGGCCGUAUCACCUUCCAUGGAUUUGUCCAAGAAACGACUACAAAUGCCAACAGCGCUGCGUCGCCAAGAACUACAAUGCAGGAUUCUGCGCUGGGCAACAGUGCAUAUGUAAAGACUGAUAGUCACGGGACUCCAGCACAUUGAUGUUGAGCAUCCACGCAAUAAAUCGGUUGAGAGCUGAGUAUGUA